AGCAGAGUGGCUUAGUGGAAGGAGCACAGACUUGGGAGUCAGAUGUUGUGGGUUCUAAUCCCAGCUCUGCAU
rnacentral:tRNA from 1 species